rnacentral:lncRNA from 1 species
UUGGCGCGGGCCCGGGGCUGGCCAGCAGCCUGCUCCGCGCGGAUCCGGGGAAUGCGUGAGAGGAGAGCAGCUCUGAGCCCUGCUUCCAAGGGGCGCGCCCGGUUAUUCCCCUCGCUCCCUCAGUCCGACCCCGGGCGCUCCCCCGCGGAGAUUGGUGUGUGAGCAGAACAGCUUGAGAAUGUGUUCUAGGACCUGGUUACCUUUCCUUCAUCAUCUCUCAACCCAUGUGUAUAUUGGGAAAAUCAGAGACCGGUCAAGUCAUGCCUCCAAGAAGGGCUUGACCAGGGUGGGCUUUGUGGUCCCACCAAGAAGCUUGGACUUCAUCCUGUUGGGGGAUGGACCAAAGGAGGGGUGUGAGCAGAGAGGCAUCCACAAGGAUGGCUCAUCCUCCACCCACUUCAAUCACCAGUGUUGUACAGCCAUUGGGGAUUACACGUGCAGCUUUGUAGCUUGUGAGAGGUUUGACGCAUGCACCUCUGAGAUAUGCUUCAGUGAUAGCAGUCUUAGCUCCUCCAUUGCACACAUGAGGAGGGUAAGUGGCCAGCCUAUAAGGCAGAGAGGACACUUGCCCUAAGAGAGGCACAGGUAGAAAGACAGAAACAAACGUGUAUCAAGCUCCCUGCUCUGUGCUAGGCCCUGGCUUGUGUGAGCUUGCCCAGUCCUCACAGCCACCACACAAGGGGUGAUCACCCCCACCGCUUUGCACAUGGGGUGCAGGGAAGUAAAGUGACUUGUCCUGGAUCACACAAGGAGUAAGUAGUAAAGCUGAGAUUCACACCAAGUCUUCCAGAGCCUCAAACCUGUACGCUUUUCCUGCCUCCCAAGGCUGGGAGAGGGAGCACCUGUAACAGCAGAACUACUGGACGAAAGCAAAUUCCCAUCCAUCGCCUCCACAGCCCUGGGAGAGACGAGGUUUUGCCAUGUUAGCCAAGAUGGUCUCAAGCUCCUGACCUCGUGAUCCGCCCAUCUCAACCUCCCAAAGCGCUGGGAUUACAGGCGUGAGCCACCGCGCCCAGCUGAAAUCAUUUCUUCAAAUACAACCUUGAGAGCCCAAGAAGUGACAGGGAUGACAGGCUGCUGGGGUGGUCCCACAGUUCCUCAGGGUUUGUCUCUCACUUGCCCAGCCCACACACCCUAUCUCCAGGGCUCUGUGGAACACAGUUUGAAACUCCUGCUGCACAGAAUAGCAAGUGCAGGGCCAGGGGAUGCACUGAAGACGGGCAUUCAGGUGGAUGCCCCCUGCACACUGUGGAAAGGCACCCUGGUGGGCUGGCACCUGGUCAGACCCAUCUUCCUGAGCAAGGGCACUGGACAGGCAGGGACAAAGCUGAUUCUGAGCAGAUCUGGCACAAGGAAGUCACCAGAAAACACUAUUGGGUUCCUCAAGGGUAAAGACUGGAUCUUAUCCAUCUUGUUGCCCAUUCCUGCCUCUGCAAUCAUGUGCACUCUGGGAACUUGGAAAAUACAUUGUGGCAUCCAGUAUUAAAUCUCAUGGUACCUAGAAAAAAAAAAAAAAA